rnacentral:snRNA from 1 species
GUGCUUGCUUUGGCAGCACAUAUGCUAAAAAUUGGAGAGAUACAGAGAAGAUUAGCAUGGCCCCUGAGCAAGGAUGACAUGCAAAUUCGCGACGCGUUCCAUAUUUUU